ACGCUCGACACCUACGGGGAGGCAGCAGGUUGGGAAUAUUGGACAAUGGAGGAAACUCUGAUCCAGUGACGCCGCGUGAAGGAAGAAGGUCUUCGGAUUGUAAACUUAUUUUGUCAGGGAAGAAAAAAUGACUGUACCUGAAGAAAAAGCACCGGCUAACUACGUGUCAGCAGCCGCGGUACUCUGAGCGGGCUGGCAAGGC
rnacentral:rRNA from 1 species